rnacentral:rRNA from 1 species
AGCUCCAAUAGCGUAUAUUUAAGUUGUUGCAGUUAAAAAGCUCGUAGUUGGAUUUCGGGUCGCGUCUUACUUGGUCACCUUGAAAGGUCGCAUCAUUAAGGCCGGCCUUGCUGUCGAUAACGCGCGAGGUGGGCUCUGCCUAUGUCCGCGAAUUCGACGAUGUUACUUUGAGUAAAUUAGAGUGUUCAAAGCAAGCCAACGCUCUGAAUAUGAUAGCAUGGGAUAACACGACAGGACUCUAGGCCUAUCGUGUUGGUCUGUAGGCCGGGGUAAUGAUUAAGAGGGACAGUCGGGGGCAUUCGUAUUCCAUUGUCAGAGGUGAAAUUCAGUGAUUGAUGGAAGACGAACAUCUGCGAAAGCAUUUGCCAAGGAUGUUUUCA